GGCAUUCAUGUGGUCUGUGACUAGGAAUUCUCAUCUCUAUCUCUCUUUCUCUCUCUCUUUUUCUCUUCUCAUCUCUCUCUCUUUUUCUCUCUCUUCUUUUCAUCUCUAGUUCUCUUUCUCUCUCUUCUUAUCUCUAUCUCUCUUUUAUCUCUCAUAUUCUUUCAUUCCUAGCAUCGAGUGGAAUUUUCUCUCUCCUCUUCUUUCAUUCCUAGCACCUGGUGGAGUUUUUUCUCUCCUCUCCUCUCAUUUCCAAUAUCGGUUGGGUUUCUCUCUCCUCUCCUCUCAUUCUCAAUACCGAUUGGGUUUUCUCUCUCCUCUCCUAUAAUUCCCAAUGUCGAUUGGGUUUUCUCUCUCCUCUCCUCUCAUUCCCAACCGCUGGGUUUCUCUUAAUGGUCCCCUCUUUUCUUUCUCUUUUAACCUUGUGGUCCUGCAUGACCACAACCCAUCUCUUCCCUCGUCCUUGUGGUCUCUCACGACAACAACUUUCUCCUCUCCCUCCUUGUGGUCCGGCAUGACCACAAUUUGCCAAUUUUCUUAUUCCUUUAUUCCCUACAAGUCCACUUGCUUCAAGGUAUACCCUCGGAUCUACUUACUCUAUUUUUUUUUUUGUCAUAGCCGUCUGCCUUUUUUGUACACCCUCGUGUCUUUUCUUUCUUUCCCACGAUUCGGUAGUCCCGCGUGACCACUACUCCACAAAUCUUCAUAACUUAGCGCCUUUUGGGCAAUUUUCUUGUGGCGCCGGUUGGGCAAUUUCACGUGCGCUCCCCUUCCCUCUUCUUAGCGCCCAAUGUGCGCUCCCCUUCCACCUUCCUGUGUAAGAUCCAAUGUCCUCCUCCCUUCUCUUUCUUCCACGGCCUCUCUCUCUUUCUCACUCUAGGCAUGCCCCUGUUGUCACACCUCUCAGCCUCUCUGAUACCACCUUCUUCCCUCUCUAAAAAAAGUCAGCCGCGAUUCCCAUAACACCCCAUCUUUACCCAAUUUCCCUAUGUUUCAUUUCACCCACCUGUAACCAGAAGGUUGCUGCCUCCUCUUCCCAGUACUCCUUCUCCACCUCAGUGCCCUCACCUUAUUCAUCUCAGCCUCGACUAUCACCAGCAGUCACGACCAACCUCCUCCAUCUCUCCCCAUCUACUCCAUUCUCUUCUACACAUUGUUGUUCAAUAUUGUGCCCACUCUUGAAGUCCACUGCUGAGCCAACAACAUCGCCGCCUCAGCCAGCAAGUAAUUCGAACCACCUUUGCUCAACCAUUUUUCACCCCACUUUUUAUCUCCCUCUGCUCCUCUCUUCUUCAUUUCACUGCCAUCUACAACCAGGCCCUGACUCAGCCAUUUCGGCCACCUCUAGCUGGCUGCCCCUGUCCCUCCACUCAGUGAGUCAUCCCUGCAACCAUCAUUUCAGCCUCAUCUCCCAUCGAUCCAUCAAGCCUUCUCGUCCAAAGCUAAGACACCCCCCAUUUUCGUCACCUUGCUGCUCCCUUCUUGCAGCUGCUCCAUUUCUGCCUGCAACUUCCGCCCCUCUCAAUCGCAGCCCUAACCUUGCUGCUGCGCCCUUCAAUCCACCAUAAGUUUCCAUCGUUCUCUUCUUCACCUUCACUCGUAUGCAGCGAUUAGCCAGCCAUCUCUUGAUCACCCAAUUCACUGCCUCUCUUGCUCUGCUCUCUCGUGCGCUCCUCUCGCUUCAACCUUCCUUUCUCUCUAAAAAACCCACAAAACAAAACUGUUGCUUCCUCUUCUUAUUUCGCUUUCGUUUUAAAAUUCUCGUUGAUUUCAUUUCGUUCGUUUCGUGAUACUUUCGUUCUCAUCCUA
rnacentral:lncRNA from 1 species